CGAACGGGCGUAGCAAUACGUCAUUGGCAGACGGGUGAGUAACGCGUGGGAACGUACCUUUUGGUUCGGAACAACUGAGGGAAACUUCACCUAAUAGCGGAUAAGCCCUUACGGGGAAAGAUUUAUCGCCGAAAGAUCGGCCCGCGUCUGAUUAGCUAGUUGGUGAGGUAAUGGCUCACCAAGGCGACGAUCAGUAGCUGGUCUGAGAGGAUGAUCAGCCACAUUGGGACUGAGACACGGCCCAAACUCCUACGGGAGGCAGCAGUGGGGAAUAUUGGACAAUGGGGGCAACCCUGAUCCAGCCAUGCCGCGUGAGUGAUGAAGGCCCUAGGGUUGUAAAGCUCUUUUGUGCGGGAAGAUAAUGACGGUACCGCAAGAAUAAGCCCCGGCUAACUUCGUGCCAGCAGCCGCGGUAAUACGAAGGGGGCUAGCGUUGCUCGGAAUCACUGGGCGUAAAGGGUGC
rnacentral:rRNA from 1 species